AGUGAACGCUGGCGGUAGGCCUAACACAUGCAAGUCGAACGGCAGCACAGUAAGAGCUUGCUCUUACGGGUGGCGAGUGGCGGACGGGUGAGGAAUACAUCGGAAUCUACUUUUUCGUGGGGGAUAACGUAGGGAAACUUACGCUAAUACCGCAUACGACCUACGGGUGAAAGCAGGGGAUCUUCGGACCUUGCGCGAUUGAAUGAGCCGAUGUCGGAUUAGCUAGUUGGCGGGGUAAAGGCCCACCAAGGCGACGAUCCGUAGCUGGUCUGAGAGGAUGAUCAGCCACCCUGGAACUGGGACACGGUCCAGGCUCCUGCGGGAGGCAGCAGUGGGGAAUAUUAGACAAUGGGCGCAAGCCUGAUCCAGCCAGACCGCGUGGGUGAAGAAGGCCUUCGGGUUGUAAAGCCCUUUUGUUGGUAAAGAAAAGCAGCAGGUUAAUACGCCGCUGUUCUGACGGUACCCAAAGAAUAAGCACCGGCUAACUUCGUG
rnacentral:rRNA from 1 species